rnacentral:lncRNA from 1 species
GUGCCCCACCACCCACCCCCCCACCCCUCCUCUCUACCGCGCCUGACCACGCCAUUCCUCUACCACGCCCUGUCUCUACCACGCCCUGUCUCUACCACGCCUUGUCUCUACCACGCCUUGUCUCUACACGCCUUGUCUCUACCACGCCUUGUCUCUACCACGCCUUGUCUCUUCCACGGCCUGUCGCUACCACGGCCUCCACGCCCUGUCUCUACCACGCCCUGUCUGUACCACGCCCUUGUCUGUACCACGCCCUUGUCUCUACCACGCCCUUGUCUCUACACGCCCUUGUCUCACCACGCCCUUGUUCUACCACGCCCUUGUCUCUACCACGGCUUGUCUCUACCCACGCCUUGUCUCUACAACGCUUGUCUUCUACCACGCCUUGUCUCUACCACGGCCUGUCUCUACCACGGCCUGCUCACCACGGCCUGUCUCUACACGGCCUCCCACGCCUGUCUCUACCACGCCCUGUUCUACCACGCCCUCCACGCCUGUCCUACCACGUCCUUCUCUACCACGCCCUUGUCUCUACCACGCCCUUGUCUCUACCACGCCUUGUCUCUACCACGCCCUUGUCUCUACCACGCCCUUGUCUCUACACGCCCUUUCUCUACCACGCUCUACUACGCCCUGUCUCUACCACGCCCUUGUCUCUACCACGCCCUUGUCUCUACCACGCCCAUGUCUCUACCACGCCCUGUCUCACCACGCCCUCUCUACCACGGCCUGCUCUACCA